AGUCCCAGUCUGACUUACCUCCAGAAGUGAUAGAAAAGUAGAGGGACAUUCAGCCCCAGCGUGAGCCACUCUUGCGCACACAGGAACAUAAUGCAGAAGAGGCUAUGGAUGGAGUAUUCUGGCAGCACCAGCUGAAGAGGGAGCAGAGACACAGCCCUGAGUUAGAGGAGGAAAACGCCACUCCUGCUUCUAUGGCAGCUGACUUCUGCCUGGACACUGCCUCUCACAGGCGGUUGACACAAAGGCCCUCCCUGCAGCAACAUAGAGCCACUGCCCCAACACAGGUCCAUUUCUGAUACGCAUGAAGAGCCUACUAUGAGGUGUCAAACACCGCGGCAGGCAUUGGAGGUGCCAGGAUGAGUUCAAUGAGCCUGGUGACAAUGUUCCAGGCACCCCCAGGCUGAUGGGAGAGACCGACAGCUGAACACUGGACCAUGCUGCAGCCAGCACUCACACACUGACUGAAGCUCUAGCACUGGCUGGUCCCUUACAGGUGAGUACAGUUGGUCACAAAGGGUGUGGACAAAGAAGAAUCCAUGGAAAUUCAAACUCAACUCAACUCUCCAAGCUUUGAGCACCCAAUGCCCUGGAUUAAAUAUGGCAGGAGGCCCAGCAAAGACCUUACAAUAGAUCGGGAGAGAUAAACCGAAAACCUAAGUGACUAUAUAAUCCAAGGCUGAAUAUAGGGAGAAGCAAAAUAGAAGGAUAAGCAUAAUAGGGUCAAAGGAGGAGGGAGGCAGAUCAGCCAACACUGGCCCUUGCUGGGAUACACACUGCUAUGGACUGAAUGUUUGUGUCCUCCCCUAAAUUCAUAUAUUGAAGUCCUAAUCCCCAUUGUGAUGGCAUUAGGAGGUGGUGUCUUUGGGAGGUAAUUGGGUCAUCAGAGUGGAGCCCUCAUGAAUGGGAUUAGUGCCCUCAUAAGGAAAGACACUAAGGAGCAAGCUUCUCUUCUCUGCCAUGUGAGGAUACAGUGAGAAGGUGGCCAUCUGCAGAUCAGGAAGAGGGCCCUCAUCAGAACCCAGUCAUGCUGGCACCCUGAUCUUGAGGUUUUAACCUCCAGAACUGUGAGAAUAAAUUUCUGUUAAGCCACCA